UGGGGAAUAUUGGACAAUGGGCGAAAGCCUGAUCCAGCCAUGCCGCGUGUGUGAAGAAGGUCUUCGGAUUGUAAAGCACUUUAAGUUGGGAGGAAGGGCAGUAAGCGAAUACCUUGCUGUUUUGACGUUACCGACAGAAUAAGCACCGGCUAACUCUGUGCCAGCAGCCGCGGUAAUACAGAGGGUGCAAGCGUUAAUCGGAAUUACUGGGCGUAAAGCGCGCGUAGGUGGUUCGUUAAGUUGAAUGUGAAAGCCCCGGGCUCAACCUGGGAACUGCAUCCAAAACUGGCGAGCUAGAGUAGGGCAGAGGGUGGUGGAAUUUCCUGUGUAGCGGUGAAAUGCGUAGAUAUAGGAAGGAACACAAGUGGCGAAAGCGACCACCUGGGCUCAUACUGACACUGAGGUGCGAAAGCGUGGGGAGCAAACAGG
rnacentral:rRNA from 1 species